GAGGAGGGCGUGGCUUCCGGCAUUUGGUGGGGCCUUUGUAUCUCGCUCCCGCCAGAGCUUGGGAUCAGUCUCUGCUGUUUUGAGUCCUCCACCUCGGGAGCCCCCGGUGACUGUCACAGCCUCUUGCCCUGUGAUCUGCAGGUUCUGGGAGACGCACAGCUAAGAUGCCAGGACAUCCUGGAAGCUGGGAAAAGGCUCAAGCGAUUCCCGUGCCUCAGCGCCCCCCUCCGGCCCCCGAGAAGCUGGGAUUACAGACCUGCGCCACUACGCCUGGCAAAUUUUUGUAUUUCUAGUAGAGAAGUGGUUUCACCAUGGUGGAAGCUGGUCUGGAACUCCUGGCCUCAAGCGAUACGCCCGCCACGGCCUCCCAAAGUGCGAAGAUUACAAGCAUGAGCCACCGCGCCCAGCCGCUUCUAUUAAAUAUUAAAGGGAGUCAAUGUUAAAACGUUAA